rnacentral:lncRNA from 1 species
UCGAGGAACGCCCCAGGGAGAUCCCCGUCGUCCGGACCCGAACCGAGCCGCGUCGGCCCCGGCUCAAAGUUGUUUCCCGCAACAUACUUCCAUGUGAAUUAAUAGAUAAUAAGAACGAGACCAAAAAAUGGCAACCAUCUCGCUACGGGUGAACCAAUCUCACUCCUUGUGGUCCCGGCAUUCAGCCAAUAGCAAGCCGGUCAAGCUGUGCCUGCGUCUUCAAUAAUUCCCAAAACCAAAAACGUAGCCCGCCCAUUAAAUAAUUCCAGCCCGUACGUUGCGUACUGGUCUCAGUCCUUAUGGUCCCGCAUGUGGCUCCCAGAGGCUUCGUCAUUUUGAUCAAUAGCAGGCCAGGUGACUCGUUGUGUACAUCUCCAAAAACUACGCUCAUUGCGGUCGUCGAGUCCUGAAUGAACCAAAGACAUCACGAGUGUGUCACGUGAGGCCUACCCAAGGCGGUGGCGUUCCGGUGAUGAUACCUAUAUAUGAGACUCCAAGCUGUUCCUUCUUUUAUUCUUUAGCGGACGCAGAUGGUCUCGGUAAAGAUGGUGGGCAACGCAAGCGAAGGAGCAGGUGGUGAAAGCUCCACGAGAGGCUUCGCUGGUAUGAGUCUGUUCGUUUCCUUGUUUUUCGAGUUUUAUUUUAUCGUCAUAACAUUUCUUUUUCCAGGAAACACCAUCGAACUGCGGAAGAUUAUUAGUCUGUCCAUUUUCCCCGUUUCUUGAAAUUUCUCGCCAUACGAUUUCUUUUUUCCCGCUAUGAGCAACGAAUCGGUGUAGGGUUGGUUCAGUUAUUGAUCUCGAUCCACUUCUUGCUUGAUUUUUCCUUUCCCUUUUUUUUUUUAAUUUCUUUGAUAUAGGGAUUCGCGUCUUCUUAGGGGCUAUGAUCCGAAGUGGUGUCAUUCGUAUUACCGAAUCGUUUUGGUUUCUGCUAAUUUUGAUUCCAGUAAGGCAGGAAGAUGCAUUUCGACUUACCAUCAUCGCAUUGUCCUCUUCUUCUUACAACAUGAACACGGUUUUCUUGGAUCCUUUUAUUUUAGAUUAGAGAGAGUGCUGCCGUGUUCUUAAACUUUCCUGUUAGCAGAAUAGCAUGGUAAGUAGUGUACUUUGUUCAAGAUUUGCAAUUACUUGGAUAGAAAUCUCAAGUAAAUGACAUUCCUCACCUGUACUUUUGGCAUCAGAUCCUAAAUAAAUGAAACAUGGAUUACCUAAUUUAUGAAAUAGGAUAGAAGAGAGAUCAAAAGGGAUUAACUGCUUACAAUAUCUCUUUGGUUUGGUGGGCACAAAUGCUACAUUGAUGGCUUCCUUCCUAGUCGUAUAUGAAAUAAGAUAGAAGAGAGACUGCUAAUCUUUUGGGGUUGGGUCGAUCCGACUUUGUAAAAGAAGUAGUGCCCUAAAAGCUUGUAUCAACCAUAAAGAUAUCCGAGUCAGACACAGGCGAGUAUAAUAUUUGAUAAUAAAAGUUGCGGAAUCAUACGUUUUACAUGUAUUUAUUUUCAUCAUUUAUCUACAAUGAUGACUAUAUAUAUAUAUAUAUAUACAGAAGAAUUUUUCCAGAUGUCAUGACGUUAACCAUGUAUUUCAAAAGUACAUAAAAAUAAAUUAUUCCAGGCUAGCCUAAUAAUGUUGGUCUCGUUUCAAAAAAAAUUUAAUACUCAUGUCACGACCUUAACCAUGUAUUCAAAAGUAUACAAAAGUAAAUAUUAAACUUCUAACCUAUUUUCGACUCAUGGUGCAUUUCCGUAGAUGCUCUCUAAUUCCAAAUUUAGCAUGCAAUAAAUAUAUCAAAACUGAUACCGAUAUAGAGCUAGCAAUAGGUCUCGAAAGAUAGGUGGGAUGUCACUCGCGAGAAUCAAAUGUAUAGACAUUCGUGUUAUCCAUAUUUAAUGGACUCUUGGAGACCUUAAUGAUUUCAUUAUCCGAGAUGACAAAUCCUCUCUCUCUCUCUCUCUCUCUCUCCCUCUCUCUCUCUCUUUUGUUUAUUAUUUCCAUAUACAAUUGUUCCUUCUGUGCAUAUUAGGCCGUGAUCUAUUUUCUAUUUCACUCAAGUUGUAUAUUUUCUUAGUAAGUUAUCCUCUGUUUGAUAUGCACAUCAACCAAAUAUCAUCCAUCUUUCAGGUUCAAACAAAUUUUGAUAAACCUUAAAAUGAUACAUGGAAGAACUAGUGUAUAAAUAACCUUGAGUUGUAGGCUUUAUCUUUCUUCUCACAAGUAACUUGAGAUAUUUUUGGUUUAUCGUUAAAAUCUUAUUGACUAAUUCGUUUAGUCCGAUCUAUAUUAUUUGCAUUAUUUAUUAUAUAAUCAGUAAUAUUCUGUCAAGUUAUUUAUUAGUAGGUUCAGGCAAACCCAAGUUUAUAUAAAAUUAACAUCACUGUCGUAAAACAACUUGCUACUGACAUUAAGCUCAUUGUGCCACGCUACAGUGGUCAUAUUGCAUUUAAGAAAGCACUAGUUGAACUCAAUUCUCAUAGGUUACCUCUUCUCAUUAUAUAUACUAGUGAUGAAGCUUCUAAGACAAUACCUCAUAUUUUGAACAACUGGUGGAAUAAGGUUCUAUCAUCCAUAUGAGAUGAAAUGAGACAUACAAAGUUGUGAAUACGCCUGCCCAAAACAUCAAUGAAAAUCAUGUAUGCUUGUCAUUCUCUCAUGUCAUAAGUUGAAGUUUCUUUCGCUAAUCACCUUUAAUUGCAUAUACAGUCUCAAGUUAUGGGUUGGAGUGAUAUGCAUGUGUCCAGUGACGUCCGUGUUUCGUCAUAGUGGCUGCAAGCAUGUUUGGGCUUAGGAUUACUAGUCCAACCCCUCUGGUGGGUUGAAAUUAUGGGUGAAGACUGCUAAAGUAGAAGUGCUGACCUCGUUGUGGCUCCCUACAUGUUUGAUUCUCUUUUUUUUUUUGCAGUAUUACAGUGGAGCUCAUAAGGUGAUAUUACCAUCUAAAUUGAAGCAAACAAAUCGAUUAAAACAUAUAAAUUUAGUAUUAGUUUAAGUAUAUUACCAUUACACUUUUUGAGUGUUGUUCCUAAUAUAUUAUAGAAAAAAACAUCAAAAUGUCAACAGUUUUGAGUGUUGUUCCUAAUAUAUCAUACGGGAAGAAGGUAUCAAAAGAAUGAGGCAAAACACAAAUCAAAAGCAAAAAAAACGUAAUCGUACGAUAUUGAUGCGUCAUUUCCUAACAAAUGAAAUACAGUAGAAGCGGACUCAGAAGAUAACCCAUCAGACGAAAAUCCAUUACUUUUAACACUUUUGUCGCCGACGACAUCACAUCAACAAUCAACCAACGUUAUGGUCUUCCAUGAAAUUUGGACAAGUCUGAUGUUACGCUACGCUGUGGACACUUGUAGGACAGAUUGGGCGGUGGAGGGAAUAUUUACACGCACCACACUUGUCGUAGGAGUUUGUACCUUGAAUUAGCUGGCGAGCUUUGCUGGUGAGGGAUUGAGG